rnacentral:rRNA from 1 species
UGGGGAAUUUUGCACAAUGGGGGAAACCCUGAUGCAGCGACGCCGCGUGAUUUAGAAGGCCUUCGGGUUGUAAAAAUCUUUUCUAUGGGAAGAAAAUGACAGUACCAUAGGAAUAAGGACCGGCUAAUUACGUACCAGCAGCCGCGGUAAUACGUAAGGUCCGAGCGUUGUUCGGAAUCAUUGGGCGUAAAGGGUACGUAGGCGGGUAAGCAAGUUAGAAGUGAAAUCCUAUAGCUCAACUAUAGUAAGCUUUUAAAACUGCUCAUCUUGAGGUAUGGAAGGGAAAGUGGAAUUCCUAGUGUAGCGGUGAAAUGCGCAGAUAUUAGGAGGAAUACCGGUGGCGAAGGCGACUUUCUGGCCAUAACCUGACGCUGAGGUACGAAAGCGUGGGUAGCAAACAGG